rnacentral:rRNA from 1 species
UGGGGAAUUUUGCUCAAUGGGGGAAACCCUGAAGCAGCAACGCCGCGUGGAGGAUGAAGGUCUUCGGAUUGUAAACUCCUUUUAAUAGGGAAGAUAAUGACGGUACCUAUUGAAUAAGCACCGGCUAACUCCGUGCCAGCAGCCGCGGUAAUACGGAGGGUGCAAGCGUUACUCGGAAUCACUGGGCGUAAAGGACGCGUAGGCGUUCCAUUAAGUCUCUCGUGAAAGCCCCGAGCUCAACUUGGGAACUGCGGGGGAAACUGGUGGAAUAGAGUAUGGAAGAGGUCGAUAGAAUUUCCGGUGUAGGGGUAAAAUCCGUAGAGAUCGGAAGGAAUACCAAAAGCGAAGGCAUUCGACUGGGACAUUACUGACGCUGAGGCGUGAAAGCGUGGGGAGCAAA